rnacentral:rRNA from 1 species
UACGGGGGGGGCAAGCGUUGUUCGGAAGUACUGGGCGUAAAGGGCUCGUAGGUGGCCAACUAAGUCAGACGUGAAAUCCCUCGGCUUAACCGGGGAACUGCGUCUGAUACUGGAUGGCUUGAGUUCGGGAGAGGGAUGCGGAAUUCCAGGUGUAGCGGUGAAAUGCGUAGAUAUCUGGAGGAACACCGGUGGCGAAGGCGGCAUCCUGGACCGACACUGACGCUGAGGAGCGAAAGCCAGGGGAGCAAACGGG